GAUGAAGAACGCAGCAAAAUGCGAUAAGUAAUGUGAAUUGCAGAAUUCAGUGAAUCAUCGAAUCUUUGAACGCACAUUGCGCCCGCCAGUAUUCUGGCGGGCAUGCCUGUUCGAGCGUCAUUUCAACCCUCAAGCCCUCGGGUUUGGUGUUGGGGAUCGGCGAGCCUUUCUGGCAAGCCGGCCCCGAAAUCUAGUGGCGGUCUCGCUGCAGCCUCCAUUGCGUAGUAGUAAAACCCUCGCAACUGGAACGCGGCGCGGCCAAGCCGUUAAACCCCCAACUUCUGAAUGUUGACCUCGGAUCAGGUAGGAAUACCCGCUGAACUUAAGCAUAUCAAUAAGCGGAGGA
rnacentral:misc_RNA from 1 species